rnacentral:rRNA from 1 species
UGGCAUUGCCGGGUAGCUAUGUUCGGAAUAGAUAACCGCUGAAAGCAUCUAAGCGGGAAACUAGCCUCAAGAUGAGAUCUCACUGGGACCUUGAGUCCCCUGAAGGGCCGUCGAAGACUACGACGUUUGAUAGGUCGGGUGUGUAAGCGCUGUGAGGCGUUGAGCUAACCGAUACUAAUUGCCCGUGAGGCUUGACCAUAUAACACCCAAACAAUU